rnacentral:rRNA from 1 species
UCUGGUGCCUCUAGCGAAAGGGAAACACCUCUUCCCAUUCCGAACAGAGCCGUUAAGCCUUUCAGCGCCGAUGGUAGCCUCCGGGCAAGAGUAGGUCGGUGCCAGGA